GCUUGUCUCAAAGAUUAAGCCAUGCAAGUCUAUGUAUAAAUCUUUAUACGGUGAAACUGCGAAUGGCUCAUUAUAUCAGUUAUCGUUUAUUUGAUAAUCACUGCUACUUGGAUAACUGUAGUAAUUCUAGAGCUAAUACAUGCUGUUAAGCCUGACUUCUCGGAAGGGCUGUAUUUAUUAGAUAACAAAUCAAUAUUCCCCGUGUCUAUUGUGAUGACUCAUAGUAACUGAUCGAAUCGCAUGGUCCUUGACCGCGAUACAUCAUUCAAGUUUCUGCCCCAUCAGCUUUCGAUGGUAGUGUAUUGGACUACCAUGGCUUUAACGGGUAACGGAGGAUUAGGGUUCGAUUCCGGAGAGGGAGCCUGAGAAACGGCUACCACAUCUAAGGAAGGCAGCAGG
rnacentral:rRNA from 1 species